CAUUGGGGCUGGGCAGCAGGAAACAUGGAUACAGCAGCGACCCAAUAGCAAGCCGUGGGUUCCCAUGACGACGAGAACGUAGGUACUGUGAGGCUAGCGACUAGAACUCUGCACAGGAAGACGUCAACCGUUCAUGCUGCAGGGCAGUUCGGCCUGCUCUCUUUGGAGCUUUGGAGAUCUAGGCUCUGAGAAGGGACGUGCCACCAGGCGCUGUGGCAGGGAUCAAGGAAGAACAGCGCAGGACAUCUGGGCCACUGUUUGAUCUUUAUAUGUGAAGCAGUUGGUGCAGCGCCAUCCCUGUUCUAUGACACGUUUUACCGUGGCUGGCUGGAGGAGUGGGAUUGAGUCAUCCUGACAGAGGACCUUACAUCUCCAAAACCAAAAAUACCUACCAUAGGGCUCUCCAUAGGAGCAGCUUACCACGCGGGGUCUUCAGCAACCCAGGGUUAAGUGGCUGGAAGUGAACAAGCGACUCCUUGCAACAAACUGAUACAUCAACAUAGUGUACUAAAAUCCACAUAAAACCUGAACAAGCUUAAAAAGGAAUUUUAAACACAAAAA